GCUCGCCGGAGCAAAGUCUGGCCUCCAGCCGUGGCACUUUUGACAUUCGCCACAUCAAAUUAAAGAGCCACGUUGGAAAACAGCCUCGCCCUUGCUACUCUGCUUCUCCCGCACACGCACGACUCAGAUGCAACUGCAGCGGUGGCGGACGGCAGAGGUCGCCGAAAGCAGGCGGCCGGUGGAGGCCGCCAGAAGCAGGCAACCGUGCUGCGGGUACUUGGCGCGGAUGGCUCCACAACGGCGAACCCCCGGUGAUCCCCCACCAGUGUACGGUUGCCAACUAUUAUCAACAUGGUUGUGUGAAAUGGAGCAUUGUACGAUCAACGGAUCAAGUGUGUUCAGGUUGUUGUAAGCGUUUUCAGGUCCAAGAUGAUGCUAGAGAUCAGUGAUUUUAUCAUCCUCUGGUAGUUGGCACCAGUCUGUUGCAUCUAUGACUAAAGUGCAUCAUUGUUUAUCUUCCCAUUAAUCUUCUUCUGGAAUUGUGGGUGCUUUCAGGUACUCCUUGGGCAAUAUGAUGGCUACAAGGAUGAUCGUACAGUGCCAAAUGUGUCCAACAAAGCUAUUUCUGCAUUAAUUGUACCGUGGUUACACAAUGAGAGAUGGGAAGAUAUAUUAUUUUUCUUCCAAGGCGCUCCUUACCAUUCUGACUGAUGACUUCUUUAGAGCUUGUUUGGCAAUACCUAUCGGAGAGGUUGGAUAUUUGUGCUAAAUCUGAACCGAUUUGCCAAUGGCCAGGUUUGGACUUUGGAGUGAACAUCUCCAGCGGCUUACAUUAGCAAACACCUGGUUGUCUUUGAGAAGUGUGGUUUGGUUAGGUUACGUGGCAGAAGAUAGCUUAGAGGAAAGGAGAAGCUUUGGCUUCAACAUGGAGAGGAGAGUUUGCUGCAUUGCAACUAUCUGAGAUCAUAACAGGCAUUUAGGCCUUGUUUGAUUAAGAUUUAACCCAUGUGGAUUUGGCUUCGACGUGGGUCUCGAUUUGGUUGUUUACAACUGCUAAACCUUGACGACCAGGACCGGAUGUUGCAAAUACAAUGGAUUUAUGUUUUGUGCUUUCGUCUCGGUUUGGAUGUUUAAUUUGUCUUGUUGAUUAUUGGAGAUUUGUUGUAUUGGUGAAUGGUGAGAUACACCUCCUGUAGCAGUAAUGUUCCUGAAAAUGUACCCUUUUUGAGAUGAGAGAUUGAAUGCUUUUGAUUAAAGUUUGUUCAAUUGUUGUUGACCAAUUUUUUCGUUUCCUGUCCGUGUGGCUUUAGUAAAAUUUGGCUAAGCUAGGCUAGGCUAGAAAUGAAGCUACGCUAAGCUGUAAGCUUGUAAAUAAGACAAGAUGUUUUUUGACAUUCAUGCAUUGCUUUGAAGUAGUAGUUGAAGCAAGAAAG